rnacentral:rRNA from 1 species
GUUCCCAUCCCGAACACAGUAGUUAAGCUCUUCAGCGCCGAUGGUAGUUGGGACUUUGUCCCUGCAAGAGUAGGACGCCGCCAGGC